rnacentral:rRNA from 2 species
GAUGAACGCUGGCGGCGUGCUUAACACAUGCAAGUCGAACGGUGAAGCCAAGCUUGCUUGGUGGAUCAGUGGCGAACGGGUGAGUAACACGUGAGCAACCUGCCCUGGACUCUGGGAUAAGCGCUGGAAACGGCGUCUAAUACUGGAUAUGAGCCUCUUCCGCAUGGUGGGGGUUGGAAAGAUUUUUUGGUCUGGGAUGGGCUCGCGGCCUAUCAGCUUGUUGGUGAGGUAAUGGCUCACCAAGGCGUCGACGGGUAGCCGGCCUGAGAGGGUGACCGGCCACACUGGGACUGAGACACGGCCCAGACUCCUACGGGAGGCAGCAGUGGGGAAUAUUGCACAAUGGGCGAAAGCCUGAUGCAGCAACGCCGCGUGAGGGAUGACGGCCUUCGGGUUGUAAACCUCUUUUAGCAGGGAAGAAGCGAAAGUGACGGUACCUGCAGAAAAAGCGCCGGCUAACUACGUGCCAGCAGCCGCGGUAAUACGUAGGGCGCAAGCGUUAUCCGGAAUUAUUGGGCGUAAAGAGCUCGUAGGCGGUUUGUCGCGUCUGCUGUGAAAUCCCGAGGCUCAACCUCGGGCCUGCAGUGGGUACGGGCAGACUAGAGUGCGGUAGGGGAGAUUGGAAUUCCUGGUGUAGCGGUGGAAUGCGCAGAUAUCAGGAGGAACACCGAUGGCGAAGGCAGAUCUCUGGGCCGUAACUGACGCUGAGGAGCGAAAGGGUGGGGAGCAAACAGGCUUAGAUACCCUGGUAGUCCACCCCGUAAACGUUGGGAACUAGUUGUGGGGACCAUUCCACGGUUUCCGUGACGCAGCUAACGCAUUAAGUUCCCCGCCUGGGGAGUACGGCCGCAAGGCUAAAACUCAAAGGAAUUGACGGGGACCCGCACAAGCGGCGGAGCAUGCGGAUUAAUUCGAUGCAACGCGAAGAACCUUACCAAGGCUUGACAUACACCAGAACGGGCCAGAAAUGGUCAACUCUUUGGACACUGGUGAACAGGUGGUGCAUGGUUGUCGUCAGCUCGUGUCGUGAGAUGUUGGGUUAAGUCCCGCAACGAGCGCAACCCUCGUUCUAUGUUGCCAGCACGUAAUGGUGGGAACUC